rnacentral:rRNA from 1 species
AUUGAACGCUGGCGGCAUGCCUUACACAUGCAAGUCGAACGGUAACAGGUUAAGCUGACGAGUGGCGAACGGGUGAGUAAUGUAUCGGAACGUGCCCAGUCGGGGGGGAUAACUGCUCGAAAGAGCAGCUAAUACCGCAUACGACCUGAGGGUGAAAGCGGGGGAUCGCAAGACCUCGCGCGAUUGGAGCGGCCGAUAUCAGAUUAGGUAGUUGGUGGGGUAAAGGCCUACCAAGCCUACGAUCUGUAGCUGGUCUGAGAGGACGACCAGCCACACUGGGACUGAGACACGGCCCAGACUCCUACGGGAGGCAGCAGUGGGGAAUUUUGGACAAUGGACGCAAGUCUGAUCCAGCCAUGCCGCGUGCGGGAAGAAGGCCUUCGGGUUGUAAACCGCUUUUGUCAGGGAAGAAAAGGUUCUGGUUAAUACCUGGGACUCAUGACGGUACCUGAAGAAUAAGCACCGGCUAACUACGUGCCAGCCGCCGCAGUAACAC